rnacentral:misc_RNA from 1 species
AUUCAAUGAGCUUGUUUCCCGGUAGAGAGAAGAAGUUCAUGGUGUUUGAUCAGUCGGUGGAUUGCGCAUUUAAAUCUGAGCGGUUUGAAAUUUCACAUCCUGGUGAAGAAGUGCCAUUUAGCAACCGAGCAACCAGCGAGGAGAUGCACGAGGAUUCGGAUGAGAUUGAUGCUCUUCUGUACUCGGAUUCUGAAGAAGAAGAAGAAGCAGGCAGUACAGGGCAUUCACCGGUUGAACAGAGCAUGGAAGAGGUAGCUAGUAGUUUGGCCGUGCCAGGCAAGCG